UGAACGCUAGCGGCGUGCCUAAUGCAUGCAAGUCGAACGGGAUCCUUUGGACUCGUCUGAAGGUGAGAGUGGCGAACGGGUGAGUAUCGCGUUGGUGACCUGCCCCAGAGAGGGGGACAACCAGUGGAAACGCUGGCUAAUACCCCAGAUGUCAUUGUGUUUAGAAAGCAAUGACUAAAGCUCCGGCGCUCUGGGAGGGGCCUGCGUCCCAUCAGCUUGUUGGUAGGGUAAUGGCCUACCAAGGCUAAGACGGGUAGGGGGCGUGAGAGCGUGGCCCCCCACACUGGUACUGAAACACGGACCAGAUACCUACGGGUAGCAGCAGCAAGGAAUAUUGCCCAAUGGACGAAAGUCUGAGGCAGCAACGCCGCGUGGAGGAUGAAGGCCUUCGGGUUGUAAACUCCUUUUCUGGGGGAAGAGAUAGGACGGUACCCCAGGAAUAAGGCCCGGCUAACUAC
rnacentral:rRNA from 1 species